CUACAGCAAGGAGUCAGUGAAUUUUCAAUCACAGACACAUCAAGUUAAAGAGACAAUCUAAGCACUGAGCUUUUUUCUUCACCUCUUCAAGACAACCGCAGCAACAAGUUUUACCUUUCCUUAAAAGGUGCUCUUUUUCCCGAAAUAAGAAAACUGUAGCACAAAGGUGGAUAUUUGAGGCCUCAGAAGACUUUAUAUUAAAGGAAAGUAGGACAUCCUUAUA